CGGCGAGCGAGCGGGAAGAGCUCAAAUUUAUAAUCUGGCACCUUCGGUGUCCGAGUUGUAAUCUCUAGAAAUGUUUUCCGCGCUGGACCGCACACAAGUCUGUUGGAAUACAGCGGCAUAGUGGUGAGACCCCCGUAUAUGGUGCGGAUGCCCAGCGCUUUGUGAUACAUUUUCGAAGAGUCGAGUUGUUUGGGAAUGCAGCUCAAAUUGGGUGGUAAAUUCCAUCUAAAGCUAAAUAUUGGCGAGAGACCGAUAGCGAACAAGUACCGUGAGGGAAAGAUGAAAAGCACUUUGGAAAGAGAGUUAACAGUACGUGAAAUUGUUGGAAGGGAAACGCUUGAAGUCAGACUUGCUUGCCGAGCAAUCGGUUUGCAGGCCAGCAUCAGUUUUCCGGGAUGGAUAAUGGUAGAGAGAAGGUAGCAGUUUCGGCUGUGUUAUAGCUCUCUACUGGAUACAUCUUGGGGGACUGAGGAACGCAGUGUGCCUUACGGCGGGGGUUUCGACCUCUUCACACUUAGGAUGCUGGUGGAAUGGCUUUAAACGACCCGUCUUA
rnacentral:rRNA from 1 species